CGCAUACGAUCUAUGGAUGAAAGUGGGGGACCGCAAGGCCUCACGCUCAUGGAGCGGCCGAUAUCUGAUUAGCUAGUUGGUGAGGUAAAGGCUCACCAAGGCGACGAUCAGUAGCUGGUCUGAGAGGACGACCAGCCACACUGGAACUGAGACACGGUCCAGACUCCUACGGGAGGCAGCAGUGGGGAAUUUUGGACAAUGGGCGCAAGCCUGAUCCAGCAAUGCCGCGUGAGUGAAGAAGGCCUUCGGGUUGUAAAGCUCUUUUGUCAGGGAAGAAACGGCUGCGGCUAAUAUCCGCGGCUAAUGACGGUACCUGAAGAAUAAGCACCGGCUAACUACGUGCCAGCAGCCGCGGUAAUACGUAGGGUGCAAGCGUUAAUCGGAAUUACUGGGCGUAAAGCGUGCGCAGGCGGUUUUGUAAGUCUGACGUGAAAUCCCCGGGCUCAACCUGGGAAUUGCGUUGGAGACUGCAAAGCUGGAGUCUGGCAGAGGGGGGUAGAAUUCCACGUGUAGCAGUGAAAUGCGUAGAGAUGUGGAGGAACACCGAUGGCGAAGGCAGCCCCCUGGGCCAAGACUGACGCUCAUGCACGAAAGCGUGGGGAGCAAACAGGAUUAGAUACCCUGGUAGUCCACGCCCUAAACGAUGUCUACUAGUUGUCGGGUCUUAAUUGACUUGGUAACGCAGCUAACGCGUGAAGUAGACCGCCUGGGGAGUACGGUCGCAAGAUUAAACUCAAAGGAAUUGACGGGGACCCGCACAAGCGGUGGAUGAUGUGGAUUAAUUCGAUGCAACGCGAAAAACCUUACCUACCCUUGACAUGCCAGGAACCUCCGAAAGAUUGGANGGUGCCCGAAA
rnacentral:rRNA from 1 species